rnacentral:lncRNA from 1 species
AGAAUCGUUUUGGAGUCACAGAAAAGUUGCAGAGGUGAUAAGAGUUCUGUGGACCCAACACCCAGCUUCCCCUAUUACCAUCAUCUCACACUGCGCACAGCUAAUGAACGGUCCACGUGGGCAGUUCUCACCAUGUAGUCCAGGCUGGCCUCGAACUGACUAUGUAGUCCAGGCUGGCCUUGAUCUCGUGGCAUCUUCCUGCCUCAGCCUCCCAAGUGCUGGGACCACAGGUGUGCACCAUCAUGCCCAGCUUGUGUUGUAUAUCUUGCGG